GAUGUUAAAGUGAUGGUUGGGAGUAAUUUCACCCGAGGGUCCUUUGCACCACGACCUCGAGCCAAACACCCCCAGAAGCUUUUUCACCUGGGUCCAACAUUGGGAGAGUUAGCGCAGAGCAGCUCCAC